AACGAACGCUGGCGGCAUGCCUAACACAUGCAAGUCGAACGAAGGCUUCGGCCUUAGUGGCGCACGGGUGAGUAACGCGUGGGAAACUGCCUAUUGGUGGGGCAUGACGACGGGAAACUGUCGCUAAUACCGCAUAAGCCCUUCGGGGGAAAGGUUUAUCGCCGAUAGAUGUGCCCGCGUCCGAUUAGCUAGUUGGUGAGGCAACGGCUCACCAAGGCGACGAUCGGUAGCUGGUCUGAGAGGAUGCACAGCCACACUGGGACUGAGACACGGCCCAGACUACAACGGGAGGCAGCAGUGGGGAAUAUUGGACAAUGGGCGAAAGCCUGAUCCAGCAAGGCCGCGUGAGGUAUGAAGGCCUUAGGGUUGUAAAGCUCUUUCGGGUGGGACGAUGAUGACGGUACCACCAGAAGAAGCCCCGGCUAACUUCGUGCCAGCAGCCGCGGUAA
rnacentral:rRNA from 1 species